rnacentral:tRNA from 1 species
AAAGGUUAACACUUUAGCCUUCCAAGCUAAUUAUGAGGGUUCAAGUCCCUUCAUCC